UUGUCACAGACGUACUCCUUCCAGCGCUUUAAUUAGCCUUCAUGAGUGUCCAUGUGCUGGAAGACUUCCACUCUGGAAAACCAGCCUCUUUCACACACGUUUUGGGCCGCUGCACCUCCUUCGGUCAUGCCGAAACUAACGUUACAAGCAACGGUAGUUUGAAAGUCAGGCUGAUAUCUUUUUCUUCGUUGCUGCCAGUGAGGGUCUGCGCGAGGGGGAGCAUUAGCAUAGCGAGCGUCGGAGGUGCCCGGAGUGUCAGGAGGAGGGGGAAUCUGGCGAAUCUCGGCGGAUAGAAGUGAACACGCAUUAUAGAAUGUACAAUAACAUCCGCUGUGUUUCUUCAGGGUGACGUGCCGCUGAAAUGUGAGACCUCCGAUGAUCUGAACACUCUGAUGUUAAAAAUAGAGGUCUCAGUGAAUCAAUUGGUGUUUCGGUGAUUUGGAAGUGUGACUCAGGAGUCCAAGCCGAGGAACAGUUUACGAGCAUCCGAUGCCCUCUGACCGAUCGGGAUGUGCAACUGGAAAUGAAAUUGUGUUACUGAGGCUGUGAGCGUUUCUGAGGAACAACUAGUCACUGGAUUCGCCAGUUUACCAGAAAUCUCCUGUUCCCAUGGGUCUUUCUGCAAUGUUUGUCAGACCUAGCAACUGUAACCGAGGGGGGCGGAGCUCAGCAAAUAUUCUCUUGAUUUAUUGCAUGUAGAGAGCGAUGAUGAUAAAGCGCUCUGGCUUGGCAGACAGCUCAUCUUGGGAAGCGUGUAAACUGUCAGAUGAAGUUGUAAUGGAGGAAGGCCUCCGCUG